rnacentral:rRNA from 1 species
AGUGAACGCUGGCGGUAGGCCUAACACAUGCAAGUCGAACGGCAGCACAGUAAGAGCUUGCUCUUACGGGUGGCGAGUGGCGGACGGGUGAAGAAUACAUCGGAAUCUACUUUUUCGUGGGGGAUAACGUAGGGAAACUUACGCUAAUACCGCAUACGACCUACGGGUGAAAGCAGGGGAUCUUCGGACCUUGCGCGAUUGAAUGAGCCGAUGUCGGAUUAGCUAGUUGGCGGGGUAAAGGCCCACCAAGGCGACGAUCCGUAGCUGGUCUGAGAGGAUGAUCAGCCACACUGGAACUGAGACACGGUCCAGACUCCUACGGGAGGCAGCAGUGGGGAAUAUUGGACAAUGGGCGCAAGCCUGAUCCAGCCAUGCCGCGUGAGUGAAGAAGGCCUUCGGGUUGUAAAGCCCUUUUGUUGGGAAAGAAAAGCAGCAGGUUAAUACCCCGCUGUUCUGACGGUACCCAAAGAAUAAGCACCGGCUAACUUCGUG